rnacentral:rRNA from 1 species
CUACACACGUCAUACAAUGGCCGGUACAGAGGGUAGCCAACCGCAGGGGGAGCCAAUCCCACAAAGCCGGUCGUAGUCCGGAUCGCAGUCUGCAACUCGACUGCGUGAAGUCGGAAUCGCUAGUAAUCGCGGAUCAGCAUGCCGCGGUGAAUACGUUCCCGGGCCUU